GAUGAAGAACGCAGCGAAAUGCGAUAAGUAGUGUGAAUUGCAGAAUUCAGUGAAUCAUCGAAUCUUUGAACGCACAUUGCGCCCUUUGGUAUUCCAAAGGGCAUGCCUGUUCGAGCGUCAUUUGUACCCUCAAGCUUUGCUUGGUGUUGGGCGUCUUGUCUCUAGCUUUGCUGGAGACUCGCCUUAAAGUAAUUGGCAGCCGGCCUACUGGUUUCGGAGCGCAGCACAAGUCGCACUCUCUAUCAGCAAAGGUCUAGCAUCCAUUAAGCCUUUUUUUCAACUUUUGACCUCGGAUCCGGUAGGGAUACCCGCUGAACUUAAGCAUAUCAAUAAGCGGAGGA
rnacentral:misc_RNA from 1 species